UUUGUGGUUGAGUGGUAAGGACACUUGCCUCUCACCCAGGAGUCCCGGGUUCGAUCCACAGUUGAGAAG
rnacentral:tRNA from 1 species